rfam:Melampsora larici-populina 98AG31 unplaced genomic scaffold MELLAscaffold_1, whole genome shotgun sequence.
GGCACUAUAGCUCAGUUGGUAGAGCGCCUGCUUAACACUUGUGUACGCAUGUUGUCCUGGGUUCGAGCCCCAGUGGAGUCA